AGUGAACGCUGGCGGUAGGCCUAACACAUGCGAGUCGAACGGCAGCACAGUAAGAGCUUGCUCUUACGGGUGGCGAGUGGCGGACGGGUGAGGAAUACAUCGGAAUCUACUUUUUCGUGGGGGAUAACGUAGGGAAACUUACGCUAAUACCGCAUACGACCUACGGGUGAAAGCAGGGGAUCUUCGGACCUUGCGCGAUUGAAUGAGCCGAUGUCGGAUUAGCUAGUUGGCGGGGUAAAGGCCCACCAAGGCGACGAUCCGUAGCUGGUCUGAGCGGAUGAUCCGCCACACGGGAACUGAGACCCGGUCCAGACCCCAACGGGGGGGCGCAGGGGGGAAGAUUGAACAAGGGGCGCAAGCCUGAUCCACCCAGUCCGCGGGGGUGAAGAAGGCCUGCGGGUUGUAAAGCCCUUUUGUUGGGAAAAAAAAGCAGCAGGUUAAAACCCCGCUGUUCUGACGGGACCAAAAGAAAAAGCACAGGCCAACUUCGU
rnacentral:rRNA from 1 species